rnacentral:rRNA from 1 species
AUUGAACGCUGGCGGCAGGCUUAAAACAUGCAAGUAGAACGAGCGACGGACGGGUGAGUAAUGUCUGGGAAACUGCCUGAUGGAGGGGUAUAACUACUGGAAACGGUAGCUAAUACCGCAUACCAUCAGAUGUGCCCAGAUGGGAUUAGAUAGUAGGUGGGGUAAAGGCUCACCUAGGCGACGAUCCCUAGCUGGUCUGAGAGGAUGACCAGCCACACUGGAACUGAGACACGGUCCAGACUCCUACGGGAGGCAGCAGUGGGGAAUAUUGCACAAUGGGCGCAAGCCUGAUGCAGCCAUGCCGCGUGUGUGAAGAAGGCCUUCGGGUUGUAAAGCACUUUCAGCGGGGAGGCGUGACUCGCAGAAGAAGCACCGGCUAACUCCGUGCCAGCAGCCGCGGUAAUAC